rnacentral:rRNA from 1 species
AUUGAACGCUGGCGGCAUGCCUUACACAUGCAAGUCGGACGGCAGCACGGGUGCUUGCACCUGGUGGCGAGUGGCGAACGGGUAGUAAUACAUCGGAACGUACCUUAUCGUGGGGGAUAACGCAGCGAAAGCUGUGCUAAUACCGCAUACGCCCUGAGGGGGAAAGCGGGGGAUCGAAAGACCUCGCGCGAUUAGAGCGGCCGAUGCCUGAUUAGCUUGUUGGUGGGGUAAAAGCCCACCAAGGCGACUAUCAGUAGCUGGUCUGAGAGGACGAUCAGCCACACUGGGACUGAGACACGGCCCAGAGUCCUACGGGAGGCAGCAGUGGGGAAUUUUGGACAAUGGGGGCACCCCUGAUCCAGCAAUGCCGCGUGAGUGAAGAAGGCCUUCGGGUUGUAAAGCUCUUUUGUCAGGGAAGAAACACCGGCUCUAACACAGUCCGGGAAUGACGGUACCUGAAGAAUAAGCACCGGCUAACUACGUGCCAGCAGCCGCCGUAA